ACACAGGCGGGAACCUGUCAGUUUAUUUUUGUUUUUAUUGUGCACCGCGCGCGGGUAAAAAGAUUUUUGUUCCGAUCCUCGGUUUUUCGUCGAUUAGUUUGAAUUUGAAUUUGGUUCAACAGCAGCUCGUGGGAGGGAAUGCUGCAGAAGUAGCCAUUCUUCCUCACGGUUACCGGUUCGGUAAUUAGUGGAAAAGUCGCGGAAUCCUAACGCUGCACACGCCGGUACACGAUACCGGGAAAGGAGGAGAAAAGUGUGAAGCGCAAAACUGAAACCGGAAGCAGCAGUAGUGGUUCCGCCGGGUGGUGUGGUUUACCUGUUUGGUAAUUUCAUUGGCGAAGAUGUGAUAGUAAAAGCUUCAAGAACGCGAUGAUGGAGUACACAUUUAGAAACCCGCGGAACAAUAAUAAAAAGAAGA